rnacentral:rRNA from 1 species
UUCCGGUUGAUCCUGCCGGAGGCCACUGCUAUUGGGAUCCGACUAAGGCCAUGCGAGUCGAGAGGGUUCGGCCCUCGGCAGACUGCUCAGUAACACGUGGAUAACCUAACCUUUAGGUGGAAGAUAACCUCGGGAAACUGAGAAUAAUAUUCCAUAGAUCUAGGAUGCUGGAAUGCAUCUAGAUUGAAAGUUCCGACGCCUAAGGAUGGGUCUGCGGACUAUCAGGUUGUAGUCAGGGUAAAGACCUGACUAGCCUACGACGGAUAUGGGUUGUGAGAGCAAUAGCCCAGAGACGAUAUCUGAGACACGAUAUCGGGCCCUACGGGGCGCAGCAGGCGCGAAAUCUUCACAAUGUGCGAAAGCACGAUGAGGGGAUCCCAAGUGCUGGCACGUAAGUGUCAGCUGUUUCUUAGUCUAAAAAACUGAGAGAGUAAGGGCUGGGUAAGACGGGUGCCAGCCGCCGCGGUAAUACCUGCAGCUCAAGUGGUGGCCGCUAUUAUUGGGCCUAAAACGUCCGUAGCCUGUUUAGUAAAUGCUUGGGUAAAUUGUGUAGCUUAACUAUACGAAUACCGGGUAGACUGCUAAACUUGGGACCGGGAGAGGCUAGAGGUACUCCUGGGGUAGAGGUGAAAUUCUGUAAUCCUAGGGGGACCACCAGUGGCGAAGGCGUCUAGCUAGAACGGGUCUGACGGUGAGGGACGAAGCCCUGGGGCGCAAACCGGAUUAGAUACCCGGGUAGUCCAGGGUGUAAACGCUGCUUGCUUGAUGUUAGUUGGGCUCCGAGCCCAACUAGUGUCGGAGAGAAGUUGUUAAGCAAGCUGCCUGGGAAGUACGGUCGCAAGACUGAAACUUAAAGGAAUUGGCGGGGGAGCACAGCAACGGGUGGAGCGUGCGGUUUAAUUGGAUUCAACGCCGGA